UACGUAGGGUGCGAGCGUUAAUCGGAAUUACUGGGCGUAAAGCGUGCGCAGGCGGUUCGUUAUGUCUGAUGUGAAAGCCCCGGGCUCAACCUGGGAAUGGCAUUGGAAACUGGCGAGCUUGAGUGUGGCAGAGGGGGGUGGAAUUCCGCGUGUAGCAGUGAAAUGCGUAGAGAUGCGGAGGAACACCGAUGGCGAAGGCAGCCCCCUGGGCUAACACUGACGCUCAGGCACGAAAGCGUGGGGAGCAAACGGG
rnacentral:rRNA from 1 species